rnacentral:sRNA from 1 species
UCCCUCCGGAAGCUGCAAGUUUCCUCGAAGAGGAUGACCUUCCCCCAUAGAAGGGGUCCCCCUUUGGUCAAGGGUAUCGGAGCAGCUGCGCUCCCCUACUUCAAACCAAGCCAAACGCACUGCCAUCGAGGCGAUUCGGACUCCUAGCGACCCUGCUGCAGGACAGGGCAGAGAGGC